rnacentral:tRNA from 1 species
ACCCAUGUGGCACAAAGGAUAAGGUGUCUGACUUUGGCUCAGGAGAUUGAGGGUUCAAGUCCCUUCACAGUUC